rnacentral:miRNA from 10 species
CAGUUAAUUAACUUCAACUAUA